ensembl:misc_RNA Metazoa_SRP Metazoan signal recognition particle RNA
GCUGAGCACAGUGGCAUGUGCCUGUAGUCCCAGCCACACAGGAGGCUGAAGGAAGGAGGAUCACUUAAGUCCAGGAGUUCUCAGCUGUAGUGCACUACGCCAGUUACGUGUCCAUGUUAAGUUCUGUGUCACUAUGGUGACCUCCCAGACCUUAGGAGCUGGACCCACCAGGUUGCCUAAGGAGAGGUGAACUGGCCCAGAUUAGAAACAGCAGGUCAGAACUCCCAUGCUUAUCAGUAGAGGGAUCAAGCCUGUAAAUAGCCACUGAACUCCAGUAUGGGACAACAAAGUAGAAAGCCAUCUCUU